rnacentral:misc_RNA from 1 species
UCUUCCAGCAGGCUUAUCUUUGAGACAAGCAUAUGACUACUGGCAGGAUCAACCAGGUAGCAUCUUUUUGCCGCCGACACCGUAUGAGCGAGGACAAUUACUAUCCUCCCGUCAACACAGGGCACGUCAGGCUUUCAUAAGGGACAAUUGAUUCGGGCAAAAAGGGACAAAGUCCCCGACCGAUCUUUGCUUCUACAUACAAAACUUCGAGCAACCCUUGGGCGUCCAAUGCCUGCUAGCUAAAUAAGAAAAGCAAGAGUAGACGUCCAUGGGUGCUAACUUGUCUACGUCGCACAAAACCUUUUAGCACGAGAUAGAGUAUGGAUCGUGGGACUAGAGAAUUCCGUCAAAAUAGGUAUGCUGCACAGGGGGCCAAGUCAGUCCAAGGUAAAAGAUUUAGCACUCAAACAGAAUUGAACAGGUGUGAACUAGCGAUUGUCACUGCCAGGGCAGGGAACCAACCAACCGGAACAUACCAAUCACCACUCACACGCCCAUGAG